CACUUUUUUUUUUUUUUUCCUUCACUUUUUAUAAUGUUUAUUAACUCAUAAUAUCAUAAUCUUAUUUAAUUCUAAAAUAUUUAUAUAUUAAGUGGCAAAAGCAUGGAGGCAGGUUUUAGGGAGUAUCCUCGAUUGCUUUUGGUUCUGAUAUGGUAAUUCUUAUUGAUUGAUUCACCCUUGAAGCUUGUAAGGGAGGUUAUUAUGAUUGUCAUGCUUUUCCCUGUAAUUUUAUUUUUACAAAAAUUGAUCAAGUUUGUUUGAUAUGUACAUCCCAAAAAGUCUGUAAUAGCUAUAUGGAUUUUUUAUACAAAUUAAGCGUGCAAUGGAGUGUUGAUGUUUGGAUUCUGUAUUUUGUUUGGUGUGCAUGGUGAUGACUGAUGAGGGAUUAUGGACUCUAAUUAUGAUGAUCAUGGCUAUGGUGGAUGUUGAUUGAUGUGUGGACCUGGUUAGUAA
rnacentral:misc_RNA from 1 species